UCCAGAAAAAUAUAAAUUGUUUGUGAGUA
rnacentral:piRNA from 1 species